UACGUAGGGUGCAAGCGUUGUCCGGAAUUAUUGGGCGUAAAGAGCUCGUAGGCGGUUUGUCGCGUCUGCUGUGAAAACCCGAGGCUCAACCUCGGGCCUGCAGUGGGUACGGGCAGACUAGAGUGCGGUAGGGGAGAUUGGAAUUCCUGGUGUAGCGGUGGAAUGCGCAGAUAUCAGGAGGAACACCGAUGGCGAAGGCGGCGACCUGGUCCGAUACUGACGCUGAGGCGCGAAAGCGUGGGGAGCAAACAGG
rnacentral:rRNA from 1 species